rnacentral:rRNA from 1 species
UACAGAGGGUGCAAGCGUUGUUCGGAAUUAUUGGGCGUAAAGCGCGUGUAGGCGGCCAGAUAAGUCCGCUGUGAAAUCUCGAGGCUCAACUUCGAGCUGUCGGUGGAAACUAUCUGGCUAGAGUCCGGAAGAGGAGAAUGGAAUUCCUGGUGUAGCGGUGAAAUGCGCAGAUAUCAGGAAGAACACCCGUGGCGAAGGCGGUCUCUGGAC